GCCGGGGUGGCGGAAUGGCAGACGCGUCAGACUUAAAAUCUGGUUUCCUUUAUGGAAGUGCGGGUUCAAGUCCCGCCCUCGGCACCA
rnacentral:tRNA from 2 species